AUCUACUCUUUGUGGGGAAUAACGCUCCGAAAGGAGUGGUAAUACCGGUGAGACAGGUGGGAUGAAACUGGGGCAAGGAGAGGAUCCUGCGUCUGAUUAGCUAGUUGGCGGGGUAAUGGCCCACCAAGGCGACGAUCAGUAGCCGGCCUGAGAGGGUGAUCGGCCACACUGGAACUGAGACACGGUCCAGACUCCUACGGGAGGCAGCAGUGGGGAAUUUUGCGCAAUGGGCGAAAGCCUGACGCAGCAACGCCGCGUGGGUGAUGAAGGUCUUCGGACUGUAAAACCCUGUCGUCAGGGACGAAUGACGGUACCUGGAGAGGAAGCCCCGGCUAACUCUGUGCCAGCAGCCGCGGUAAUA
rnacentral:rRNA from 1 species